UACGUAGGGGGCAAGCGUUGUCCGGAUUUACUGGGCGUAAAGAGCGUGUAGGCGGCCAAGCAGGUCCGUUGUGAAAACUGGAGGCUCAACCUUCAGAGGUCGACCGAAACCCCCUGGCUAGAGUCCGGGAGAGGAGAGUGGAAUUCCUGGUGUAGCGGUGAAAAUGCGCAGAUAUCAGGAAGAACACCCGUGGCGAAAGCGGCUCUCUGGAACGGUACUGACGCUGAGACGCGAAAGCGUGGGGAGCGAACAGG
rnacentral:rRNA from 1 species